rnacentral:rRNA from 1 species
GACGAACGCUGGCGGCGUGCUUAACACAUGCAAGUCGAACGAUGAAGCCGGAGCUUGCUCUGGUGAAUUGGUGGCGAACGGGUGAGUAACACGUGAGUAACCUGCCCUUGACUCUGGGAUAACUGCUAGAAAUGGUAGCUAAUACCGGAUACGACCCUCGGAGGCAUCUCCAGGGGGUGGAAAGAAUUUCGGUCAAGGAUGGACUCGCGGCCUAUCAGCUAGUUGGUGAGGUAACGGCUCACAAAGGCGACGACGGGUAGCCGGCCUGAGAGGGUGACCGGCCACACGGGGACUGAGACACGGCCCAGACUCCUACGGGAGGCAGCAGUGGGGAAUAUUGCACAAUGGGCGCAAGCCUGAUGCAGCAACGCCGCGUGAGGGAUGACGGCCUUCGGGUUGUAAACCUCUUUUAGUAGGGAAGAAGCGAAAGUGACGGUACCUGCAGAAAAAGCACCGGCUAACUACGUGCCAGCAGCCGCCGUAA